rnacentral:tRNA from 1 species
GUGCUUGGAUAGCUCAGAUGGUAGAGCACUUGCCCGCAAAAGGCAAAGGCCCCGAGUUCGAGUCUCGGUCCGCACA